AUUGAACGCUGGCGGCAGGCCUAACACAUGCAAGUCGGGCGGUAGCGGGAAAGUAGCUUGCUACUUUUGCCGGCGAGCGGCGGACGGGUGAGUAAUGCCUGGGAAAUUGCCCAGUCGAGGGGGAUAACAGUUGGAAACGACUGCUAAUACCGCAUACGCCCUACGGGGGAAAGCAGGGGACCUUCGGGCCUUGCGCGAUUGGAUAUGCCCAGGUGGGAUUAGCUAGUUGGUGAGGUAAUGGCUCACCAAGGCGACGAUCCCUAGCUGGUCUGAGAGGAUGAUCAGCCACACUGGAACUGAGACACGGUCCAGACUCCUACGGGAGGCAGCAGUGGGGAAUAUUGCACAAUGGGGGAAACCCUGAUGCAGCCAUGCCGCGUGUGUGAAGAAGGCCUUCGGGUUGUAAAGCACUUUCAGCGAGGAGGAAAGGCCAGUAGCUAAUACCUGCUGGCUGUGACGUUACUCGCAGAAGAAGCACCGGCUAACUCCGUGCCAGCCGCCGCAGUAAUAC
rnacentral:rRNA from 1 species